GACCCCUUAGCUCAGUGGUAGAGCGUGUGAUUCCAGUAACUGGCAUGUCCACAAGGUCAUCCGUUCAACUCGGGUAGGGGUCA